rnacentral:lncRNA from 1 species
UUCAUGAGUUUGUGUUAUCAAACUAGCGUAUAAUUUUUUUUAUUAUGGAUGAUUUUAUAUGGUCUAGAUCUAUAAAUGAUUUUUGUAAUACUUUUAAACCCAUUGAAUACAAUGAUCCUACUCCUUCUCCAAACUUUGAAUUCCCUGUGUUUGAGGCUGAGGAAGAAGGUGAUGAAGAAGUGUCUGAUGAAUUAUUUCGUCUACUUGAC